UACGUAGGGUGCAAGCGUUAAUCGGAAUUACUGGGCGUAAAGCGUGCGCAGGCGGUUAUAUAAGACAGUUGUGAAAUCCCCGGGCUCAACCUGGGAACUGCAUCUGUGACUGUAUAGCUAGAGUACGGUAGAGGGGGAUGGAAUUCCGCGUGUAGCAGUGAAAUGCGUAGAUAUGCGGAGGAACACCGAUGGCGAAGGCAAUCCCCUGGACCUGUACUGACGCUCAUGCACGAAAGCGUGGGGAGCAAACAGGAUUAGAAACCCCAGUAGUCC
rnacentral:rRNA from 1 species